rnacentral:rRNA from 1 species
GCUCAGAAACUUAAAUGAAUUGACGGGGCCCGCACAAGCGGUGGAGCAUGUGGUUUAAUUCGAUGAUACGCGAGGAACCUUACCUGGGCUCAAAUGUAUGUUGACGUAUUCUGAAAGGGAUACUUCUUCGGACAAUAUACAAGGUGCUGCAUGGUUGUCGUCAGCUCGUGCCGUGAGGUGUCGGGUUAAGUCCCAUAACGAGCGCAACCCCUAUCAUUAGUUGCCAUCAGGUCAAGCUGGGGACUCUAAUGAAACUGCCUACGCAAGUAGUGAGGAAGGUGGGGAUGACGUCAAAUCAGCACGGCCCUUACGUCCAGGGCUACACACGUGCUACAAUGGCCGGUACAAAGGGCAGCUACCUGGUGACAGGAUGCUAAUCUCAAAAGCCGGUCUCAGUUCGGAUUGCAGGCUGAAACUCGCCUACAUGAAGUUGGAGUUGCUAGUAAUCGCGAAUCAGAAUGUCGCGGUGAAUGCGUUCCCGGGUCUU